rnacentral:rRNA from 1 species
AUMAGCCUGGRAAACUGGRUCUAAUAMUGGAUACRACAUGUCACCGCAUGGUGGCGUGUGGAAAGGGUUUUACUGGUUUUGGAUGGGCUCACGGCCUAUCAGCUUGUUGGUGGGGUAAUGGCUCACCAAGGCGACGACGGGUAGCCGGCCUGAGAGGGUGACCGGCCACACUGGGACUGAGACACGGCCCAGACUCCUACGGGAGGCAGCAGUGGGGAAUAUUGCACAAUGGGCGAAAGCCUGAUGCAGCGACGCCGCGUGAGGGAUGACGGCCUUCGGGUUGUAAACCUCUUUCAGCACGGAAGAAGCGAAAGUGACGGUACGUGCAGAAGAAGCGCCGGCUAACUACGUGCCAGCAGCCGCGGUAAUACGUAGGGCGCAAGCGUUGUCCGGAAUUAUUGGGCGUAAAGAGCUCGUAGGCGGUUUGUCGCGUCUGCUGUGAAAGCCCGGGGCUUAACCCCGGGUGUGCAGUGGGUACGGGCAGACUUGAGUGCAGUAGGGGAGACUGGAAUUCCUGGUGUAGCGGUGAAAUGCGCAGAUAUCAGGAGGAACACCGAUGGCGAAGGCAGGUCUCUGGGCUGUUACUGACGCUGAGGAGCGAAAGCAUGGGGAGCGAACAGGAUUAGAUACCCUGGUAGUCCAUGCCGUAAACGUUGGGCACUAGGUGUGGGGAACAUUCCACGUUUUCCGCGCCGUAGCUAACGCAUUAAGUGCCCCGCCUGGGGAGUACGGCCGCAAGGCUAAAACUCAAAGGAAUUGACGGGGGCCCGCACAAGCGGCGGAGCAUGCGGAUUAAUUCGAUGCAACGCGAAGAACCUUACCAAGGCUUGACAUACACCGGACCGGGCCAGAGAUGGUCUUUCCCCCUUGUGGGGCUGGUGUACAGGUGGUGCAUGGUUGUCGUCAGCUCGUGUCGUGAGAUGUUGGGUUAAGUCCCGCAACGAGCGCAACCCUCGUUCUAUGUUGCCAGCACGUGAUGGUGGGGACUCAUAGGAGACUGCCGGGGUCAACUCGGAGGAAGGUGGGGAUGACGUCAAAUCAUCAUGCCCCUUAUGUCUUGGGCUUCACGCAUGCUACAAUGGCCAGUACAAUGGGUUGCGAUGCCGCGAGGUGGAGCUAAUCCCAAAAAGCUGGUCUCAGUUCGGAUCGUGGUCUGCAACUCGACCACGUGAAGUCGGAGUCGCUAGUAAUCGCAGAUCAGCAACGCUGCGGUGAAUACGUUCCCGGGCCUUGUACACACC